AAUCCAGGAGAGAAAUCAUGUGAGCUUGAGAAGGAAUCAGAUUCUGCAUAUAUUUCCAAGUUAACAUGAACAAGAUUUUCUGAAAGACUGCUAUGGAGUCUGAGAAAAAAUGUCAAAGAUUGAGGACAUGAAGAGGAAAGAACUGACAGAGGAGGUGAAGAAAGGUGAUCAGGAAGAGCCAUCAAAGUGUUAUCCUGGAAUUCAAGUGAAGACAGUGUUUCAAAGUGGAAAUGAACAGUGUCCUGUAACCCUCAGAGUGAGACUAGAGUCAGAAUGCAGGCUUUUCUCAUUUGAAAUCUAUAUGCCACAGAGAGGAUCCAGAGAGCCCAUCUCCGGUCAGUUAUCUGUAUUUGUAUGUCAACUACAGCAUCAAAAAGCAUAGGCAUGGAUACUAAGGACCCCCUCUGUACACCAACGCCAGUCCAAAGGACAGUGUGUCACUGUGAACUGGAAAUUCAUCUCUCUUCUUCAAUUUUUUUCUACCUACUUUAUGCUUUAUCUCUAAGUUGAGGCUGUUUAUGGCCUCAUCCUCAAUUACCUUGUCCCUCAUUACUCCCAGUUAAUGGAGAUUAAGCUUUGUAUCAUGACUUCCUAACUAAAAUUGAAAUCACAAGACAUCACAUAAAUAAAGUUACAAAUGGAUUAGAUAAA
rnacentral:lncRNA from 1 species